ACACACACACACACCAUGUGAGCAUGAAGGAAGAGCUGAGAAGCAAUCCCAGAGACAAGGGGAAAGGCACCAAGCAAGACCCUUCUUGUCGUCAGAAGGAGCAGACCCAUACUGUACUUUUUUGUUGGAUUUCCAGCCUCAGAGUCCCACUCCUACCCUGUUCUGUGCCGGUUAGGGAAGAAGAACUUCUGUUGUGUCCAUGAACAGAGAACAGCAGCGGUCUCUAACUUCCGCACAGGGGAACCUGCAGGUGUUGGAGACAGUGGAAUGGCCUCGGAUGAUGAAUCAGGGAGGCUGUGUCCUCUGCUCUCUGGCCCUCCACCGUUCAUUCUCCUGUGUAAGUGCCAGUGUGUGUUUCUUUCUCCAGCCUCACGCUCUAAACAAGAUGCCUCUGGCAGAGGCCCGGGUAGAUGGAGUCUCUCAAGUCCAGUACAACUUCAUUGUCCCUGACUUAUGAAGGUUUUGUAAGACCAGUUGUUUAAGGGACCGUUCUUGUCCCGGUGACUGUUCCCGGCUCCUGUCACAGACCAGUGACCAGGGUGUGUGCAUGUGUGCUUUUGUGCGUGUGUGGACAUCCGGGGGCAACUUGUGGAAUGGGCUCUCUCCUUCACUGUGUGUGUUCAGGAACUAGCUUGGAUUGGCAAGCUUGCUGGUAAGUGCCUUACCUACUGGGCCAUCUCAGCAGCUUCUGUGUAUGUUUUUAUUCCAGGCCCAUACUGGUUGGUGCUGGUUUGAAAAAGAGCUUCACUAUAUAGCCCACGGUGGCCUUCAACUCAUCCUCCUGCCUCAGCUUUCUAAAUUCUGGGACGGUUGGUAGGUGCCACCAUACUGGCAAACAAAGCUUGUUUUGUUUUCUGUGGAUCUUAAUAAAGUUUGAAAUCAG